rnacentral:pre_miRNA from 1 species
CUGUCAAAAUGACCUGUGAAUUGUCAGUCAUUUUGAGGUUAGGUUCGUUGGUGUGAUAAACAAUUCUUCAUUACACCAACGAACCUAACCUUAAAAUGACUGACAAUUCACAGGUCAGUUUGACAG